AGUGAACGCUGGCGGUAGGCCUAACACAUGCAAGUCGAACGGCAGCACAGUAAGAGCUUGCUCUUACGGGUGGCGAGUGGCGGACGGGUGAGGCAUACAUCGGAAUCUACUUUUUCGUGGGGGAUAACGUAGGGAAACUUACGCUAAUACCGCAUACGACCUACGGGUGAAAGCAGGGGAUAUUCGGACCUUGCGCGAUUGAAUGAGCCGAUGUCGGAUUAGCUAGUUGGCGGGGUAAAGGCCCACCAAGGCGACGAUCCGUAGCUGGUCUGAGAGGAUGAUCAGCCACACUGGAACUGAGACACGGUCCAGACUCCUACGGGAGGCAGCAGUGGGGAAUAUUGGACAAUGGGCGAAAGCCUGAUCCAGCCAUACCGCGUGGGUGAAGAAGGCCUUCGGGUUGUAAAGCCCUUUUGUUGGGAAAGAAAAGCAGCAGGUGAAUACCCCGCUGUUCUGACGGUACCCAAAGAAUAAGCACCGGCUAACUUCGUG
rnacentral:rRNA from 1 species